GGAGAUUUAGCUCAGUGGUAGAGUGCUUGCCUACCAAGCACAAGGCCCUGGGUUCGGUCCCCAGCUCCG
rnacentral:tRNA from 1 species